AGGAGGCUGGUUUCAUUUGGUGGUUUAGAUUUAAGAGUAUAAUGUCUAGCACCAUAUGAAAUCAGUGUCCU